CCUACGGGAGGCAGCAGUGAGGAAUAUUGGUCAAUGGGCGAGAGCCUGAACCAGCCAAGUAGCGUGCAGGGUGACGGCCCUAUGGGUUGUAAACUGCUUUUAUACAGGGAUAAAGUGACGUACGUGUACGUUUUUGUAGGUACUGUAUGAAUAAGGACCGGCUAAUUCCGUGCCAGCAGCCGCGGUAAU
rnacentral:rRNA from 1 species